AUUGAACGCUGGCGGCAUGCCUUACACAUGCAAGUCGAACGGUAACGGGCCUUCGGGUGCCGACGAGUGGCGAACGGGUGAGUAAUGCAUCGGAACGUACCUUUCAGUGGGGGAUAACGUAGCGAAAGUUACGCUAAUACCGCAUAUUCUGUGAGCAGGAAAGCAGGGGAUCGCAAGACCUUGCGCCGAUUGAGCGGCCGAUGUCAGAUUAGCUAGUUGGUGAGGUAAAGGCUCACCAAGGCGACGAUCUGUAGCGGGUCUGAGAGGAUGAUCCGCCACACUGGAACUGAGACACGGUCCAGACUCCUACGGGAGGCAGCAGUGGGGAAUUUUGGGACAAAUGGGGGCAACCCUGAUCCAGCCAUGCCGCGUGAGUGAAGAAGGCCUC
rnacentral:rRNA from 1 species